GGCUCGAUCCCACAACCAUGAGAUCAUGACCUGAGCCAAAAUCAAGAACUGGACCCUCAAACAACUAAGCUACCCAGGCGUCCCUUUGUCUUCAGUGUGGAUAGGCAUUAGCCCCUUCUGUCUGGACCUAAACAUAAAUGUCGUGACUUAAGCAGCUGAAAGUAAGGCCAUGGAUAUAAGAACAGCAAAUAAAUACAAGAAUCCAGGAAGACAGCUGGUGUAGCAACAAUCAGUCGGGGAGCAACCUUAUCUUAAAAGUCCUGGAUCCUUUCAAAGCCUUCCAAAGCCACAUGGAUCUCCUUAAUACUAAGAAUUCAGCCGAUCAAAGGGAUGCCUCACCAACAGGAUGAAAUAACACACACCAAACUGUUGACAAUUGCCCCAGCUCCAUAUAUAAUCGGACCUCGAGAGGGGCUGGAUCAAGCAAAAGACACCAACCAGCACCUGGAAACUGUGAAAUACAAAUUCAGUUCGAAGAAAGAAAACACCAUCAGUUCUCCCAAUAUUGUUUAUUUUUUUAGAAUAGCCGUCCUUAUUCUGGACUUGAUCGUCCUCUUCUCUUUAGAAUCACACACAGACUUGACCAAGGGUCUCCAUCUGACCCUUGUUGGUAAAUAAGAGUGUGGUAGAAAACCCUUUCUUGUGUUCGAGAAAGGAUUCCCACCCUUUUAGGUGACCAGUUGUCUAUGAUUUAUCCAUUGGGAAACUCUGAUUUCAGGUGAUCCCUCUAACUGCUUUUGCACUGAAAGUAAAACCCUUUGACCCAUUUUACGCCAUGUUAGGAAAAUUCUGAACUCUCCCACAUUCACCCUAUAAAAGGACUCAACUGCCCGAUUUACAAUAGCAAAUAACCUAUUUUCCUAGAGAAAAUGUGUUGUCUCACAUACAAAGACAGUCUCCCCUCCACCAAGAAAUCCUGGAGAUACUUCAAAAUCAACCCCUCCAACACCACACUCCUCCUCCUCCACCUGAAACCCACACUUCGCCUGGUUCCCUCCAUGGGGGUUCCCACCCAGUUCCCAGUAAAGAAGUCACCUCGCCCUCCCUCUUUUUCCUUCUCCCUCUCCGUCAGCAUCCGUGGUGCCACCAAGUCCGUUCCACUCUCUGCCACGUCAUCUCUCAGCUCUGCCAGAGUCCUGUCCUCUGUCCUCUGGGUCAGGCUCCCCACAGCUCUCACCUGCAUUAUGACUCAAGCAUCACCCCACUUCGGGAGCUGGCCAGCCCCUUGCUCCCAACCACUUGCUACACCGCAGGCAGAGUGGAAGUUUAUAUUGCAAACGUGAUUGUGUCUCCCCAGCAGUGACGUGUCUGUGUCUCCUUAACGCAAACAGGACCAUUACUGUGGCCCCCGGGACGCUGCAGGGUAAGUGUCUGCUGGCAUCCACAGCCUCCCUCUCUGAACCUGAUCUGUCCCCUCCCCCACACCCUUCCCCACCUCAAGCACACCACACUCUCUUUCUCCUUCAGGUCCCCUCUGCCUGACACCCUGACCAUGUCCCCAUAUCUGUCUCACUCCACAUCUCCCCCUGUACGUGAGUGUGCCUGCCUUUUCCUACAGGGGACAUGCCCACGGUCCUGACCAUUUCUUCUCCUGGCAUCAGCACACCUCGUUGUCUCACUGGAGCCUUGCAGGUGUCACCGCCCGCCCUGCAGACAAGGCCUAUGUCAGUGUCUCCCACUCUUGGGCUCUAUGCCUGGAAGCUUCUGGCUCACGGAGGGGGCUGCUCAGGAAGCGUGGGGCAAAUGGAGGACAAUGUGGAUUCCACCAGAGAAUUCCACCAGAAUUCCACCAGAACUCCAGGGAGCGCAAGGAAGCAGGCAGAGGUGUCCACCCUGAUCCCCGAGCCUUCUCCACCAGAGGGGGCCCCACGCGUGGGAGGAAGCAGGGCUCUGGCCAUUAGAACCCGAGCCACGUGGUGGGCAGUGCUGGUCCUGCCCCCUCCCUGCCUUCCUUCCAGACAGAAAUUCAAUGAAACUGAUGAACCAACAACAAGGAAGUACAAUUCAGCACCCCACUCAGUCCUCUGCCCCAGUGACUGACAUGGGUGCCACUUGCAGAUGGGCACUGGGCUGAGGGAGGGCAAACGUGGAGUCAAGGACAUUGGGCCACCAGGCGGCAGAGCUGGGGUCCAACCACCCAGACUCCAAAACCCGGCAACUGAAAUAGCUACAGUCUCUUCAAGAUGAGAGGCGCCUGUGUGGCUCAGUCGGUCGGGCAUCCGACUCUUGAUUUUGGCUCAG